CUAAAUACUACCCAGUGACCGAUAGCGUAUAGUACUGUGAAGGAAAGGUGAAAAGCACCCCGGGAGGGGAGUGAAAAAGAACCUGAAACCCUGUGCCUACAAGCACCUAGAGCGCGUCAAAGCGUGAUAGGGUACUUUUUGUAGAACGGUCCGGCGAGCGAUUGUAUGCAGCAAGGUUAAGGACUUAAGGUCUGGAGCCGAAGCGAAAGCGAGUUUGAAAAGGGCGUUAAGUUGCAUAUAAUGGGCCCGAAACCGGGUGACCUACCCAUGGUCAGGUUGAAGUGGAAGUAAAAUUCCAUGGAGGACCGAACCGACCUCCGUUGAAAAGGCGGCGGAUGAACUGUGGGUAGCGGAGAAAUUCCAAUCGAACCCGGAGAUAGCUGGUUCUCCCCGAAAUAGUUUUAGGACUAGCCUCAAGUUAGAUACCUGGAGGUAAAGCACUGAAUAGCCUAGCGGCCGAGAGGUUAGCGAAGCUUAUCAAACUCAGAAUGCCAGAGUAUUGAUGCUUGGGAGUCAGACAGUGUCAGAUAAAUGUCAUUGUCAAAAGGGAAACAGCCCAGAUCUACAGCUAAGGUCCCAAAGUCAGGUUAAGUGGAAAACGAUGUGAAGAUACGCAGACAACCAGGAUGUUGGCUCAGAAGCAGCCACUCAUUCAAAGAGUGCGUAAUAGCUCACUGGUCGAGCGUCUUUGCGCGGAGAAUUUAACGGGGCUAAACCUGACACCGAAGCUUAGGCAAUACAGUAAUGUAUUGGGUAGGGGAGCGUUGUAUACGCGGAGAAACAGUAGCGCAAGCGGCUGUGGAGUGUAUAGAAGUGAGAAUGCCGGAAUGAGUAGCGCGAAUGCAGUGAGAAUCUGCAUGGCCGAAAGCCUCAGGUUUCUGGAGGAAGGUUCGUCCGCUCCAGGUUAGUCGGGAGCUAAGGUGAGGCCUAACGGCGUAGCCGAUGCACAGACGGUAGAGAUUCCGUCACCACCAAAAGAGUUAAACACAGGGACACAUAUGAAGUCUCGGAGCCGGGUGUUGGUUCCGGUAGCGAUCGAGGGAAAUUAGUACCGAAGUCCGAGAUGGAAGAUGGCGAGAAAAGCUGUGUGUAUUUCUGCGGUGCCCGUACCGCAAACCGACACAGGUAGGUAGGAAGAAGAUUCUAAGGCCAACGGGAGAAGGGUUGUUAAGGAACUCGGCAAAUUGACCCCGUAACUUCGGGAGAAGGGGUGCUCCAGAGAUGGAGCCGCAGAGAAUCGGCCCAAGCAACUGUUUACCAAAAACACAGGUUUGUGCUAAAUCGAAAGAUGACGUAUACGAGCUGACGCCUGCCCGGUGCUGGAAGGUUAAGAGGAGAUGUGCAAGCAUUGAAUCGAAGCCCCAGUGAACGGCGGCCGUAACUAUAACGGUCCUAAGGUAGCGAAAUUCCUUGUCAGGUAAG
rnacentral:rRNA from 1 species